rnacentral:rRNA from 1 species
GACGAACGCUGGCGGCGUGCUUAACACAUGCAAGUCGAACGGAAAGGCCCUGCUUUUGUGGGGUGCUCGAGUGGCGAACGGGUGAGUAACAAGUGAGUAACCUGCCCUUGACUUUGGGAUAACUUCAGGAAAAUGGGGCUAAUACCGGAUCGGAGCUCCUGCUGAAUGGUGGGGGUUGGAUAGUUUCGGCGGUUGGGGAUGGACUCGCGGCUUAUCAGCUUGUUGGUGGGGUAGUGGCUUACCAAGGCUUUGACGGGUAGCCGGCCUGUGAGGGUGACCGGCGACAUUGGGACGGAGAUGCGGCCCAGACUCCUACGGGAGGCAGCAGUGGGGAAUAUUGCACAAGGGGCGGAAGCCUGAUGCAGAAACGCCGCGUGCGGGAUGACGGCCUUCGGGUUGUAAACCGCUUUCGCCUGUGACGAAGCGUGAGUGACGGUAAUGGGUAAAGAAGCACCGGCUAACUACGUG